rnacentral:snoRNA from 1 species
UCCUCCCAGAUGAUGAAAUAUUUUCGGAUGUAAAGCUUUGUCACUUCUGAAAAGCGCAAAACCGUGUGGAUACUUCCGUUGCCUUCCUUCUGAUUCUUUAGGGA